UGUCUUGUAAAUGGCGAGUUUGGUCCUG
rnacentral:sRNA from 1 species